rnacentral:rRNA from 1 species
GACGAACGCUGGCGGCGUGCUUAACACAUGCAAGUCGAACGGGCCCGCUCUCUUUUUUGGGGGUGGGUUGAGUGGCGAACGGGUGAGUAUCACGUGAGUAACCUGCCCCCUGCUCCUGGAUAACUGCUUGAAAGGGCGGCUAAUACGGGGUGUGCCGGCUGGUCCGCAUGGGCCUGGUCGGGAUAGUUUCAUCUUCGGGUGUUUCGGUGGGGGAUGGGCUCGCGGCCUAUCAGCUUGUUGGUGGGGUGAUGGCCCACCAAGGCGGUGACGGGUAGCCGGCCUGAGAGGGUGGGCGGCCACACUGGGACUGAGACACGGCCCAGACUCCUGCGGGAGGCAGCAGUGGGGGGUAUUGCACAAUGGGCGGAAGCCUGAUGCAGCGACGUCGCGUGAGGGAUGGAGGCCUUCGGGUUGUGAACCUCUUUCUCCGGUGGUGAAGGCCCUGUCCGUUGCGGCGGGGUUGACGGUAGCCGGGUAUGAAGCGCCAGCUAACUACGUG